GUGGGGAGGGGCCAGACCGUGCAGGACCUUUGAACCAUAUUACAGAGCUUGGACUUUAUCCUGAGAAGAACAAGGAGCCGCUGGAGGGUUCCACUGAGGGGAGCAGCAGAAUCACAUUUAGAGCCAUCACCCUGGCUGCAGCCUCAAGAGCUGGCUGCAGCAGCGGCAAGGCCAACUCAGCGAGGAGGCUGCUGAGAGCCAGGUGAGAAGUGGCCCAAACUGGGGCUGGGCAACAGGGGUGGGGACCACCAGGCAACUCCUGAGUUACCCGGAGGGCUUCCUGUCAGCCCCCGAUGGCUUCACUGCCCUCUUCAAGAUUUGCAGCCUUCUCAUUCAAACACUCCCGGCCUGCCAUCCUGAGGAUUUUAAGCACUAAAGGAGAUGCAGGUUUUCCACCAAACCUUAAAGACUAUCCUGAGUAAAAUUCACUUAAGCAGGAGGUGAUAAUACAGACAGAAUAUUAUAUGGAAAAUACAGGGUCUGGCCAUGACUGUACAAAAAUUUCUCAAUAUGGAGGAAGGGUGUGAAAUCAGAGCUGAUGGGGGAGAGACAGGGCAGGAUUCAGGGGACAAGAAGGAAUGUCCUCCAACUUUGAGUCCAGCAUUUUCCUGGCCAGGAGCCUUUCUAUUCUAUAUCUAGGAUCUUAUUUUAAAGAGGAAGUCUUCCGCACAAAAUGCCAGCCUAGAUAGAUAAUGUUUCCCAAAGGGGUAGAAUACUGUAGUUAAGGGCAUGGAUUUUGGACUCUGACAGACCUGAGUUUUAAUCCUAGCUCUGUUCCUUAUUUGCUGCAUGACCUUGAACAAGUAACUUACCUUCUCUGAAUCAUGGUUACUCAUCUGGAAAAAAAAAAAUGGAGAUAAUAUCUACCUUCACUUGGAAUUAAAGGUGAGACUCUCAUAAAUCAGUAGGGAGGGGAAGGCAGCUCCUGCCCUGGACCCUCCUCAGAGUAUUAUCACUCAUCAGACUAGUCGACUGUAAACCAGUGAGGCUGACAGGGACAUCAUGGACUUAGGGGUGCAAAGGGGAGUUUGGAAGUGAGGCAGAUCCUGAGGAGCUGAACCCAGCCUAUUCUGUCUCUCUCUUUUUUUUUUUUUUUAAAUCUCAUGUGCUGGAAGGUCUUUGUUUGUUCCGUAUUCUUCCUAGCACUUUUCCUUCCAGAUUGAAAAUUUUUUUGACACAGUGAUUUUCCUCAUGUGACUAGAUAGGAGAAUUUCCAAUUUUCAGACAGGAUGAUACCGAAUGACUGUUGGACCUGGUACUGGUGCCUGAAGAAGUUUCUGCUCUGAGAACGCCCCUAACAAGACCAGCCAUCUCAAAAACAAGGACUGAGAAAGUGGAACACACUGGCUUGGGACAAAUCUGCCAUCAGAACGGGAGAAGUCAAAGUUCAUGUGUCUAGAGCAUCAUCUUCACAUAUGUGCCCCAGGGAGCAGACAGAUAAAACCAUCACUUGGAUCCAUGCCUACCCCACAGGAGGAGGGAGGAAAGGCCUCUUUGACUUCCUUUCAGAUUGUCUCACAUGAGGCCUUUGGAAAUGAAGAGUCCAUCCUGGGCAUUAGAUCAAAGGAGUCGAGUGAAUUUCCUUAAAUCCUUUUCUGGACCUGUUGAAGUACAAAUAAACUGAGAAAUAAAAGGAUCACAACUUUAUAUUUUUUGUAUAUACAAUAUAGUAUUUUACGUACACUGUAGUUUAGCAGACUUAUUUCACAGACAGAUAAAAAGAAAUUCUUUAAUGGAAGGUGCUAUGGACCGAAUGUUUGGGUCCCCCCAAAUUCAUACAUUGAAGCCCUUAAUGUGAUGGUAUUUGGAGAUGGAAACUUUGGAAGGUAAGUAGGUCACGAGAGGAGGAAGCCCCAUGAUGGCACUGGUGUCCUUAUAAGAAGAGGAAGAGAGCUAGCACUUUCACUCUCUCUGCCACGUGAGGCUACAGGAAGGCCAUCUCCAAGCCAGGAAGCAGGUCUUCACCAGAACCUGGCCAUGCUUGGCAUCCUCAUCUCAGUCUUCCCAGCCUCCAGAACUGUGAGAAAUAAGUGUUUGUUGUUUGAGCUACCCAGUCUCUGGUAAUUUGUUAUAGCAGCUGGAGCAGACUAAGACAGAGGGAUAGAUAAAGGGUCUGCUAACUUUCUAUUUUAGACUAACUUUCUAUUAAGGACUAUUAGAAAAAUACAAUUGCAAUCUACCAUCACCAUCAAUUCAUAAACACUCUAAUGCCAAAAAUUAGAAAGAUAUAAUCUCAGAAUUAAAAAGUGUUAUCAAUGAAAUUAUUUUUCUCAUUUUGCUAGGGGACAGUAAACAUUUCAUCUCAGACUAGCACUUCUGAACCAGUAGUUUAAAGAUGGGACCGUUAGUGGUUCAAAUAACUAAAAAUUUAUAUGAAGGGUUUUCAGACAUGGCUGGAUCCAGGUGCCCCAGUUAUGUGGGCUGGAAUCUUUCUCCACUUCUUGAUUUCAUUGUCUUCAGUGGUGACUGCCUUCUCACACAGGUGCUCCCUUGCAGGACUAGAUGACCCAUAGCAGCUUCAAGCUUGUAUUCUACCAGCCUAGCAACAAACUAUUGAUUCUUGGCUGGACCUCAAGAGACAAAAUUGGGUGACAUGCCUGUCCCAAAAACCAUCAUGGUGACUGAUUGGUCAGUCUGGGGUUGUAUGCCCACUCCCAGAAGGUGGAGGGUGGGUAUGGGAAGCCAGUGUAGGGGAGUUGGUUCCCGUCUUUUAAAAAAAACAAAACACUGUUACCAAAUAAAGAAGAAUGGAUGGUUAUGGACAAUAACAACAAAAGAACAUUACAAUUUUAUUAAAAUCAAGCACUGUUAUAAUUUUACUAUGACUUUAACUCAAGUGAACUCAGUCAUUCAACAAACAUUUAUCAGACACACCUAUGUGCCAGGCACUUUGCUAGGCAAUAGGAUACAAGGAUAAAUCCACUAGUCUCUGCCUUCGAUGAACCCAGCUAAUGUGAGGAGAGGGAGAGGUGGACACUUUUUACAACAGUGUGUGAAGCGACUGAGAUCAGCCCUGUCAAAGGACUGAAUCAUAGUCCUCGUUAGUUCCUUACUUUGCUUGGCUAAUAUAGACCUGACUUAGUACAGCUUGAAGUUGGAUGGCUCCUUUAUGUGAAACACUUUACACUAAUUUCAAACAGAUAUAUAUCAUGUAGGAGGUGGGGGUAGGAGGGACAUGAACUUGACCACAGUUCAAUAAGAGACAGCUAUGUGGUCCAGCUCCUUAAGCAGGUAAUACAUUCCCAGACUGUGUUAAAGAAGCACAGUGUCAUAUCAAAAGAGCACAGUUCCACCAGGCCACACAAGAGUCAGCCCUCCUCUGGAGUGUGAUUUAUAGUUCCCAGAACAUUUUUGGGAAGGACACUGAAGGUCAUGAUGUCACUAAGUCUCAUGGAUGCACCAGGAUAAAACAUUGCCAAGAGAAGAAAAACACGGCCGGUUCAGAGAAAAGUUCUGAAACUAUCUGAGUGGGGAGCCCACAUUGCACAGUGGAAAGACUUUGGCAGAUGGUGGUUUGAAUCCUAGCUUUGUCAUUUACGAGCUCUGUUAUCUUGGGCAAAUCAGGUAUUUCCCAAAAUAUGGGUAAAGAUUCACAAGUAGUAUUCAAAAUAUUGUUUAGGACAACUCAAGUGGUGCAUGAGCCAAUUUUGCUUGAUGUUCUGAUCAAGCAAUAGAUUACUUAGAAAGUUAUUCUUUUAACAAUUUCUUUAGAUCUUUCUGAAUAUAUCAAGGACAAAGUUUCUCUUUGGUUCUAACUUUCUAACACUGACUAGUUUCAUUUUUUUUAACAAAUGGAGAGUAGCCCUCAAGCUCAGAAUUAGAAUUUAAUAACCAUUUUGGGGCUUCCCUGGUGGCGCAGUGGUUAAGAAUCCCCCUGCCAAUGCAGGGGACACGGGUU